rnacentral:rRNA from 1 species
ACGUAGGAGGCGAGCGUUAUCCGGAUUUACUGGGCGUAAAGCGCGUGCAGGCGGUAAGGAAAGUUGGAUGUGAAAGCUCCUGGCUUAACUGGGAGAGGUCGUUCAAAACUACCUAACUAGAGUAUGGGAGAGGGAGGCGGAAUUCCGGGUGUAGUGGUGAAAUGCGUAGAUAUCCGGAGGAACACCAGUGGCGAAAGCGGCCUCCUGGCCCAAAACUGACGCUCAGACGCGAAAGCUAGGGUAGCAAACGGGAUUAGAGACCCCGGUAGUCCUAGCUGUAAACGAUGUGAACUUGGCGUCGGCGGGUUUAAAUCCGUCGGUGUCGAAGCAAACGCGAUAAGUUCACCGCCUGGGGACUACGGCCGCAAGGUUA